rnacentral:rRNA from 1 species
AAAACUGUUUAACUUGAGUGCAGGAGAGGAAAGUGGAAUUCCUAGUGUAGCGGUGAAAUGCGUAGAUAUUAGGAGGAAUACCAGUGGCGAAGGCGACUUUCUGGACUGCAACUGACACUGAGGCACGAAAGCGUGGGGAGCAAACAGGAUUAGAUACCCUGGUAGUCCACGCCGUAAACGAUGAGUACUAGGUGUCGGGGGAAGACCUCGGUGCCGAAGUUAACACAUUAAGUACUCCGCCUGGGGAGUACGCCCGCAAGAGUAAAACUCAAAGGAAUUGACGGGGACCCGCACAAGCAGCGGAGCAUGUGGUUUAAUUCGAAGCAACGCGAAGAACCUUACCUAAACUCGACAUACCAAUGACAGCCUUUUAAUCGAGGACUUUUACCUUCGGGUAGACAAUGGAUACAGGUGGUGCAUGGUUGUCGUCAGCUCGUGUCGUGAGAUGUUGGGUUAAGUCCCGCAACGAGCGCAACCCUUGUCGAUAGUUACCAGCAGUAAGAUGGGGACUCUAUCGAGACAGCUAAGGACAACUUAGAGGAAGGUGGGGAUGACGUCAAAUCAUCAUGCCCCUUAUGUUUAGGGCUACACACGUGCUACAAUGGUCAUUACAGAGAGAAGCGAAACUGCGAAGUCAAGCAAACCUCAAAAAGAUGAUCCAAGUUCGGAUUGUAGGCUGAAACUCGCCUACAUGAAGUUGGAGUUGCUAGUAAUCGCGAAUCAGAAUGUCGCGGUGAAUGCGUUCCCGGGUCUUGUACACACCGCCCGUCACACCAUGGGAGUUUGGGGGGCCCAAAGUCAGCGACUCAACCGUAAGGAGAGAGCUGCCCAAGGCAAAACAAUUGCUGGGUGAAGUCGUAACAAGGUAGCCG